rnacentral:rRNA from 1 species
AACGAACGCUGGCGGCAGGCUUAACACAUGCAAGUCGAACGCCCCGCAAGGGGAGUGGCAGACGGGUGAGUAACACGUGGGAACAUGCCCAAAGGUACGGAUUAUUCUCGGGAAACUGGGAGCAAUACCGUAUGUGCCCGAAAGGGGAAAGAUUUAUCGCCUUUGGAUUGGCCCGCGAUGGAUUAGCUAGUUGGUGGGGUAAAAGCCUACCAAGGCGACGAUCCAUAGCUGGUCUGAGAGGACGACCAGCCACACUGGGACUGAGACACGGCCCAGACUCCUACGGGAGGCAGCAGUGGGGAAUCUUGGACAAUGGGCGCAAGCCUGAUCCAGCCAUGCCGCGUGAGUGAUGAAGGCCCUAGGGUUGUAAAACUCUUUCGUGGGGGACGAUAAUGACGGUACCCCAAGAAGAAGCUCCGGCUAACUUCGUGCCAGCCGCCGCGGUAA